UACGGAGGGUGCGAGCGUUAUUCGGAAUUACUGGGCGUAAAGCGCGUGUAGGCGGGGAUGUAAGUCCGAUGUGAAAGCCCCCGGCUUAACCUGGGGAGUGCAUUGGAAACUGUUUUUCUUGAGUACUGGAGGGGAAGGGAGAUUUCCCGGUGUAGAGGGGUGAUUCGUAGAGUUCGGGAGGAACACCAGUGGCGAAGGCGCCUUUCUGGAGGGUUACUGACGCUGGGUCGCGAGAGCGUGGGGAGUAAACAGG
rnacentral:rRNA from 1 species